GGGUGGGCCCGGGCAGUGAGUGGGGAGGGGCUGGUGGUGAGUGGGCGGGGCUUCAAAGGGGAAGGGGCGGGGCCUGGCAUCGAGCGGGCUUGGGGGGUCCCUGGGGAGUUUUGGGGAGUCCCAGGGGGGAUUUUUGGGUGGAUUUGGGGCAAAAUUUAGGAUGGAUUUGAAGUGGAAUUUUGGGAUGGAUUUGGGGUGGAAUUUGAGGAGGUUUUGGGCUGGAUUUGGGGCAGAAUUUGGGAUUUUUUUGGAGUGGACUUGGGAGGAAUUUGGGCUGGAUUUGUGGUGGAAUUUGGGAUUUUUUGGGGUGGAUUUGAGGUGAAAUUUGGGCUUUUUUGGGGGCAGAAUUUAGGAUUUUUUGAGGUGGAAUUUGGGAUGGAUUUGAGAGGGGAUUUAAGGCAGAAUUUGGGGUGGACCUGAGGUGGAAUUUGGGAUCUUUUUGGGCUGAAUUUAGGAAGAGUUGGGAAUGGAUUUGGAGCAGAAUUUGGGCUGGAUUUGGGGUGAAAUUUGGGCUAUUUUUGGGGCAGAAUUUGGGCUAAUUUUGGGGCAAAAUUUGGGAUUUUUUGGGGCUAUUUUUGGAGCUGAAUGUAGGAUUUUUGGGGCAGAACUUGGGAUUUUUUGGGGCAGAAUUGGGGAUUUUUUGGGCUAUUUUUGGAGAACAAUGUAGGAUUUUUGGGGCAGAAUUUGGGAUUGUUUUGGGGCAAAAUUUGGGAUUUUUUUGGGGCUAUUUUUGGAGCAGAAUGUAGGAUUUUUGGGGCAGAAUUUGGGAUUUUUUUGGGGACCAUUCCCCCACCUUGGCCGUUGCGUCCCUCCUGGGAGCGCAGGCGGAUCCAGUGGUCCGAGAUGUUGAGGAUGACCAGGGGGUGCAGGGCCACGGACACGCUGCCGGUCACUCCUCCGGCCAUCACCUGAGGCGCCCCUGCCACGGAAAAUUCCAGAACAUUCGGGAAUUCCGGGGAAUUUUGGGGUCAUUCCCGGUAAUUCUGGGAUCGUUCCCAGUGCCAUUCCCAGGCUCUUGGGCUGUUCCCGGGAUUUUGGGACAAUUUUUGGUCCUCCUGGGGCCAUUCCCGGUAAUUUCGAGGCUCCCUUUGAUUUAUUUCCCCUCACGAUCUCCCCCAUCCCGGUGCCGUUCCCGUUAUUCCCGGAGCCAUUCCCGAUUAUCCCAUCGCCAUUCCCGGUAUUUCCUCCCUUAUUCCCGGUAAUUUUGGGGCCAUUCCCGGUAAUUUUGAGGACAUUCCCGGUAAUUUUGAGGCUCCUCCUGAAUUUUUUCCCCUCACGAUCUCCCCCAUCCCGGUGCCGUUCCCGGUACCGCUCUCGGUGCCCCCCUCACCGCUCCCGGUGCUCCCCCCGUUCCCUGCCCCAUCCCCCGUUAAUCCCGAGGACAUUCCCGGUAAUUUUGAGGCUCCUCCUGAUCCCGGGCCCCCCCCCGGGCCCCGCUCCUCCCCCGCAGGAGCCGCCGCCUCCCGGCGCCGCCGCCGCCAUCUUGGAGCCCUCACGGGGCAUGCGAAAGGAGCAAGGGGGCGGGGCUUGAGAACUCAUUGUGAUUGGACAACGCUACGAUUGGGCGGGGCUUUGUGGAGGAGAGGCUUUGAUGCUAAAUUUUGAUUGGGCAAAGCAUCAAGAGGCGGGGCUUAAAAGGGCGGGAUGUGAGAGCGGAGUUUUGAUUGGUCAAUGCUUU
rnacentral:lncRNA from 1 species